rnacentral:lncRNA from 1 species
UUUUUUUCUGAUACAUUUUUAACAAAUGUUGAUUUGUAUCCUCUUUCAUAAAAAAUUGUUUACAAUAUUCAUAUUUCAAGGAAAGAGAAAAAUAAUUUAAGGGAGUCGAUAGCUAACAUAGUUUAGGAUUCAAACUAAAAUAGUAAUUCCCCUGAAUCUGAUUCUAAUCUUAUACUGCCAUAAAUUGGAAGCAAAUAAAUUAGAAUCCUUUUCAAAAUAAGACCAAACACAAAUAUGAUUCUGUUCUUUAAACAUAACUUUUAAAAUUCACACACACACACAUAAAAAUACCUGCAUGUUCUUACAAACACACACACACACACACACACACGAAAAGCAAUUGAAAGGUACAUGUAUCUAUCUUUUAAUUUUUAAUUUAAAAGACAUGGAAACCUUUGUUUUCAAAGGAGAGAAAACAUGAUUUUCAGGUCUACAUACAUUCAGUUCUGAACAUAUUUCAGAUCAUCUGAGCUACUUCAUGCAAGACACUCAUUUUUUAGAAUGAUUUAAGACACUAUUGAAUGUCUCUUCUAAAAUCAUUACAAAGCAUUCAUUUUCAAUUUCCCUGUAGCCUUUUUUGUUUGUUAACUUUUCUAAUCUGACCUCCAAAGAAAAGUUACAGAAAAGUUGUUGUACAUAAAAUUGUAAACUAUUGGUUUUAUUUAAUUUGUAUUCUUACCAUUUUAAUGCAGCAGUAAAGCAGAUGUUACAGAAGAAAGAAUGAAAUGUUAAAAAUGAGAAUUAGGUGUACAUUUUUAUUUCAAAGGCUCAACAAACUAUUACUAAAGAACUGGAAAAGCUGCUUCUGUUAAACUUAUGUGAGCUGUAAAAACUGAAACAUAAGAACAUAUGCACACCAUGAAAUAAUUAACAAUGUUGUCUCUGUUUCCACAAUUUAGUAACAAUCCCUAGGCCACAUAAUCAACUUUGUAAAAGACCCAUCUAAGAGAAGUGAAGAUAAGGAAGUUUUUUCUUUCUAGGGUGGGAACUGAAUUGUAAAGAGUCUUAUUAUUUAUCUUUUUUAAAGAUAAAUAAUAGUUUUAAAAUUAAUGCAUACUCUUCC